rnacentral:rRNA from 1 species
UACGUAGGGGGCAAGCGUUGUCCGGAAUUAUUGGGCGUAAAGAGCGCGUAGGCGGUUUGGUAAGUCUGUUGUGAAAGUCCAGGGCUCAACCCUGGAAAGCCGGUGGAAACUGUCAGGCUUGAGUCCGGAAGAGGCGAGUGGAAUUCCUGGUGUAGCGGUGAAAUGCGCAGAUAUCAGGAGGAACACCAAUGGCGAAGGCAGCUCGCUGGGACGGUACUGACGCUGAGACGCGAAAGCGUGGGGAGCAAACAGG